AGGGAUCAUUAUCGAAUGGUCUUGUGCCUUCAACACUCUAAACCGUGGAAGCAACAUGUGCUUCGGCGCUCUGGCGCCGUCUUUAUGUGUGAGUCCGUCUUGACGUCUGAAUCUGAUAAUGAAAAAUCAAAACUUUCAACAAAGGAUCUCUUGGCUCUC
rnacentral:misc_RNA from 1 species